AAUAAUACAUAAGUGUAACAGAUUCAGAUACAACAUUACUUAUAACAUACCAGACAAACUAAGUGACAUUUUAGGCCUACAGUGUCAAAUUUAAAGAGUUUCCCAAGUUCAAUUAAUACAAUAUUAUAAACAUACAAAUGUAAUAAAAAUUAUUGUUCGCGAAUAUUCAAUUUGGAAUGCGAUUUUGUUAAUAAAAAAAUACUUAUAACUUAUGCAAAACCCAAGAGAGGCAUUAUUUAUAUUUAUUUCUUUUGCGUUCAUUUUCAAAUUCGCCGUGCAUAUAUUUUUGUGCAUGGCGCUUGAGAGGGCAUCACGUGACUAAAAACGACCAACCAACGACCUCGCUUCGGCCAUCUUGGCAUCUUCAUUUUCAUUUCAUCUUGGCCACCUUGCCCGGCCUUGCCUUGCCGUGGAUAGUUUGUAUUAUUUGUGCUUUUUAAGAAUAUUUUUUUAAUUCGGAUACUUUUAUAAUAGCUUUAAUAGUAUUAUUAACAUAGUGCAUAAAAUGGUGUCCUGUUUUUGACGCAGUUGGAGUAGCAGAAACAAAUGUAGAUAAAAAAAUCUGCAGGAAUAACGUUUCAAUUAUGACAGAAGCUCGAAACAAAUGACUGUGAAUUAGUGUGAAUGAAAAGCCCUAUUAAAAGCUUUCCAGAAGAUCCUGCGAAGAAGACAUGAAGUAUAGAUCAGAUUUGUUAAUAGAGGAGUAUGUUCAAAACACUUUUUAGAAAAAGAUAUUGACAGAUCUUCACUUUCAUCUGUUCGUUUGAGAGACUGUGCUGUUCCAAUAGCUUAUGUCACACAGAAUCAGCUGAGAGAAGUGGUCUACAAAAAACCAGAAAGGAAACGGAAUAUGUGGCUACGAAAAGCAAAAGAAAGGUUUACAAAGCAAAUGUGACACAUUUUUUUAUAAUAUUUAGGAAUGUCAGUAAAUUACAUUAAAAAAUGUAUGUAAAGAUUUUUUGCAAUAAAAAUGUUUAUAUUUAUCAAGGAUGUAUUAUUUGGUAUGGCCACAUAUCGUCAGUGAUGUGACAAUACCUCCUAUCUGUUUUUUUCAAGAGAUUUGUAAGAUAGACUAAAAACUUGUUUCGGCCA